UAUAUAUUCCUGAGAUUUAAAUAUAAGAUUGCAUUUGUUUCAAAUCUGCUUUACAGUCAACUGACGAUAGUAAUAUUUUUAUGAAGAAACAUGUUUGUGAUUUUUUCCCAACAGGCGCUAGCCAUGGGCCUGCUUUGUUUGAUGUUUUCUGUCGUUAGUUCUAAACAAAAGAAGCAAAAGAGGCCGACGUGCACCGAGCGUGUUAAUAAAGCGAAGGUUAUGAUCAGCAAGUUAGAAGAGGAAUGCAAUGUUGACAUGAAAUGCGAUUGGAAACUUCCUCCAGAAAAUGUUAGUUCUGUCUGGGGGAUAUACGUGAGAUGGGGGAGAACUGUAUGCCCUGAGAGUGCUGAAGUGUUUUACGAAGGUAUAGCAGGUGGCUCCCACUAUAACCAAGGUGGAAAUGGUGCAAACUAUGUCUGUUUGCCGAGAAAUCCCGAAUGGGGGAAGAUUAGUAAUGGCCUGGGUGGUAUUGGUGCGUAUAUCCAUGGAGCUGAGUAUCAGUUCGGUGCAGGCUAUAGCAACCCAUUCCUCGGGACAAAUGCCCCGAACUCGGAAAAUGCAGAAUCGCUCCACGACAAUGACGUACCAUGUAUUGUGUGUCAAGUCCCCCGAAGCGUCGCAAUGGUACCAGCCAGACACUCCUGUCCGGAUGGUUGGACUUUAGAGUACAAAGGUUAUCUGGUGGCUCAGCAUCAUACUCACCCUCAAAACUCUCUCUAUGAAUGUAUGGAUAAAGCGCCUGAGGCAAUACAGGGUGGUCAUGAAAACAAGGACGGUGCAUUAUUCUACUCUGUUCAAGCGAUUUGCGGAUCAUUGCCCUGCCCCGAGUACAAACAAGGCGCUGAGCUGACGUGUGUUGUUUGCUCCAAGUGAAUAGAGACUUAAUGAAAAGCGACCACUUGUAUGUUAUCAUAUAUGACAAGUAUUAACUUUAGGACAUCCAUAUCAUGAAAUAUUAUCCAAUGGUAUUUUCAUCAUCUGAUAAAAUUAGAAUGUAUUUUUCAGAUGGCGUAUCAACGAAAUUUAGGCAUAAACUCUACAAAAUAUUGCGCAACAAUGUGUUUCAAAUUGUAUUUUAGAUAUAUUUUAGUACAAACUAAAAUGAAAGUAGUAGUGUGCAUGACAAUACAUAUCUUAUCAUAUAAUCGAUGGUUAAGGGACACGACAACAACAUUUCCGUUGGCACCUUAAAGGAUCAUUACAUUUUUUUGUAUAUCAGCAACUUGUACAUACGAUUCGGAUAUCUCCCGGGCAACCUGUAAUAAAAUGUUUGUUUUGUUGCAGAUGCACAGUCGAUCAAAAUAAACUCUAAUUAAAAUAUGAGUAACUUAAUUGUGAUAAACAUUUACAUUUAGAAAAAGCUUGACGAUUUUGAUGUAGCACUAAUGUAGCACUGCUAUUGUAGUUCAACAAAAAUUUGUUGCAAAAUAUUCUUCACUCAAACUUUGAUACUUUUAAUGACAGAAACUUUAGCAAUUUAACUUGUUUACUUAACAGAAAUUUAAUAUUCAUAAACAUUACUAACUUGUGUUGUUUAUGUCGACUAAUGUCUCUCAUAAAAGCGAAUGGACUUCAAUAUUCGUAGUAAAAUGAAAUAAAC
rnacentral:misc_RNA from 1 species